CCUACGGGAGGCAGCAGUGAGGAAUAUUGGUCAAUGGCCGAGAGGCUGAACCAGCCAAGUCGCGUGAGGGAAGACGGCCCUACGGGUUGUAAACCUCUUUUGUCGGGGAGCAAAGCGCACCACGCGUGCCUCCUUGAGAGUACCCCAAGAAAAAGCAUCGGCUAACUCCGUGCCAGCAGCCGCGGUAAUACGGAGGAUUCGAGCGUUAUCCGGAUUUAUUGGGUUUAAAGGGUGCGCAGGCGGAGGUGUAAGUCAGCGGUAAAAUUCCGGGGCUCAACCCCGUACUGCCGUUGAAACUGCAGGCCUUGAGUGCGCGAGAAGUAUGCGAAAUGCGUGGUGUAGCGGUGAAAUGCAUAGAUAUCACGCAGAACUCCGAUUGCGAAGGCAGCAUACCGGCGCGCAACUGACGCUGAGGCACGAAAGCGUGGGUAUCGAACAGGAUUAGAUACCCCUGUAGUC
rnacentral:rRNA from 1 species